UCUUCAUUUUCCAUACUCUCCUCUCACCGGUCAGAGAGGCGAGAGAGUGUGCAAAAUGAAGAGA
rnacentral:pre_miRNA from 1 species